rnacentral:rRNA from 1 species
CCAAAUGCGUACGCAUUUGCCUAGAAUUUUCUCCUUGAUCAAGAACGUAAGUUGAGGGAUCGAAGACGAUCAGAUACCAUCGUAGUCUCAACUGUAAACUAUAUCAGCUAGGGGUUGACGAUUGCUUGAUUGGCUUUGUCAGAACCUUAAGAGAAAUCAAAGGAUUUGGGUUCCGGGGGUAGUAUGGUCGCAAGACUGAAACUUAAAGGAAUUGACGGAAGGGCACCACAAGAUGUGGAUCCUGUGGCUUAAUUUGACUCAACACUGAAAAAUUUACCAGGUCCAGACAUAGUUAAGAUUGACAGAUUGAUAGUUCUUUCUUGAUUGUAUGGGUGGUGGUGCAUGGCCGUUCUUAGUUGGUGGAGUGAUUUGUCUGGUUAAUUCCGUUAACGAACGAGACUACUCUCUGCUAAAUAAUAUAAUCAUUUAGAUAUGAUUUUAGCUUCUUAGAGGGAUUUGCUUUCCAUAAAUUGCUGGAAGACGGUAGCAAUAACAGGUCUGUGAUGCCCUUAGAUGUUCUGGGCUGCUAACGGGCUACACUGGUGCAUUCAACAAGCCUUUUCCCUGGUCCGAAAGGUCUGGGUAAUCUUUGAAAUUGCACCGUGCUUGGGAUAGACUAUUGCAAUUUUUAGUCUUCAACGAGGAAUUCCUAGUAAACGCGAGUCAUCAACUCGCAUUGAUUACGUCCCUGCCCUUUGUACACACCGCCCGUCGCUCCUACCGAUUGGAUGAUUCGGUGAGCUCUUGGGACUGUUCGCUGUGUCUCCCUAACGGGAGCUCGGCAUCGGAA